UUUUUUUAAGAAUAAUGGUUGUUUGGGCGUCCAGCUUCUAACAUGUAAUUCAGCAUCAAGAAAAGAGCAGAAAAAUUUACAUAAUCACAUAACAAAUUUCAAACAUUUAAGCAGCAUCAUCAGAAGAACAAAAUGAUUUACAUAAUUCCACAACAAAUCAGCAGCAACAAGCUUGCAUUUUCUUGAGAAUAACAAGGAGUGAUCAACCAUAACAGUGAACGUGGGGGAAAGAUAUUCCUUGUGUCUG
rnacentral:lncRNA from 1 species